rnacentral:rRNA from 1 species
AUGCAGCGUGAGACAACACCAAGAAAAUGCUGCGUUAGGGUGUCCGCGGAGGUGGUCCGUGGGAGGGCGGCCGCUCUCGGGAGCGGGCGAAGCAAGCGUGGUGCAGGGAGCUCUCGGCAGCGGGCGAAGCAAGCGUGGUGCAGGGAGCUCUCGGCAGCGGGCGAAGGAAGCGGCUCGUCGGCCGAUUCGCUCCGGCACGCCGCGGGCGAAGGAAUCGGCUGGAGGAGGGGCAGCGAGCGGUGGUCAGCCGCGGCAGUCGACUGGCGUGCGGCUGGAGGAGGGAUUUGGCCGCAGCGGCGCAUUAGGCGGCGGUGCCGUGCAGCCGUGCUGGCCAGGGCAGGCUGCAGCAGUGCGUCAACGGAAGACAUGGAUUUUCGAAAGCAUCAACCUUCUGCUAGUGCAACCUCUAUUAGUAUGGUCCACCUGGAUUUUCCCAGCCAAAUUCUUGAGGACAUUGAUUCUGUGAAUCAAGUGAUGUCAGCAGAUUUUCCAUCGGAGGCUCCUAUUGAUAUUGAUAUGAGGGAACUUUACUUUCUCAUUAUGCAUUUUUUAUCACAUGGUCCAUUUAAGCGGGCCGCUGGAGAGCUCUGCAAUGAUCUUCUGGAGCAUCAGUUGUUACCUAGAAGAUAUCAUGCUUGGUAUUCACGUGGUGGUUUUCAUAGCGGCGAAGAAAAUGAUGAUGGUGUAUCGCUCCCUUUGGGUUACCUAAAGCUAGUUGAGAGGUUCUAA